CUUCACUGUCCUUUCACCGCUUAUUUGAGAAGUGUUUUCAACUCUUUGAAGAAUUUCAGUUUGGUUUCUUGCCCCAUGACUCAAUAGAGAGCAAGAACUGGAUUCCCUUUCUCUUCCCAGUGAGGGGCACUGAGCAGGCAGCUUGUCAAGGGGGGGCUUUCCCCCAGCCCCGCCGCUCAACCCCAUGCCAGAGACACGAAGAUGACAAUCGCAGCUGCCAGGCCUGCAGGGAGCCUGAGCCCAUGUAGGUGUGAGGGGUGCAGUCUCGGGGGUUUUCUGUGUGGAGUCUACGCUCUCAGACACAAUGCACCUAUUUGGCCGGCACGUUGCCAUGUGUGGAUCUCGCUCCCAUCUGGAGCUGUGCCCGGCGGCUGUGCCCACUCAACUGCUUAUGAAUGAAGGAAGGAAAAACGAAGCCAUUGAGCCUCACUCCAGCCCCGUGAACUCUGAGGGCCGCAUCAUUGCCCCACAUAUUUAUUAGGUGUCCAAG
rnacentral:lncRNA from 1 species